rnacentral:rRNA from 1 species
GACGAACGCUGGCGGCGUGCUUAACACAUGCAAGUCGAACGGAAAGGCCCUGCUUUUGUGGGGUGCUCGAGUGGCGAACGGGUGAGUAACACGUGAGUAACCUGCCCUUGACUUUGGGAUAACUUCAGGAAACUGGGGCUAAUACCGGAUAGGAGCUCCUGCUGCAUGGUGGGGGUUGGAAAGUUUCGGCCGUUGGGGAUGGACUCGCGGCUUAUCAGCUUGUUGGUGGGGUAGUGGCUUACCAAGGCUUUGACGGGUAGCCGGCCUGAGAGGGUGACCGGCCACAUUGGGACUGAGAUACGGCCCAGACUCCUACGGGAGGCAGCAGUGGGGAAUAUUGCACAAUGGGCGGAAGCCUGAUGCAGCAACGCCGCGUGCGGGACGACGGCCUUCGGGUUGUAAACCGCUUUCGCCUGUGACGAAGCGUGAGUGACGGUAAUGGGUAAAGAAGCACCGGCUAACUACGUG